rnacentral:misc_RNA from 1 species
GAUGAAGAACGUAGCGAAAUGCGAUAAGUAAUGUGAAUUGCAGAAUUCAGUGAAUCAUCGAAUCUUUGAACGCACAUUGCGCCCGCCAGUAUUCUGGCGGGCAUGCCUGUUCGAGCGUCAUUUCAACCCUCAGGCCCCCAGUGCCUGGUGUUGGGGAUCGGCCCAGCCUUCCUGUAAGGCCGCCGGCCCCGAAAUCUAGUGGCGGUCUCGCUGUAGUCCUCCUCUGCGUAGUAGCAUAACCUCGCAGUUGGAACGCGGCGGUGGCCAUGCCGUUAAACACCCCACUUCUGAAAGUUGACCUCGGAUCAGGUAGGAAUACCCGCUGAACUUAAGCAUAUCAAUAAGCGGAGGA